rnacentral:tRNA from 1 species
UAGAAAGUGGUGUAGAG